rnacentral:misc_RNA from 1 species
GCCAAAUAAGAAAGGGAUCAUAUUCCACUAGAUUUUUUGCAUUAAAAUAUCUCCCCCUUUCUUAAACUACAUUUCCUACACAUUUUCUCAACUUUCAAUAUUCCUAGCAGGUUAUUCAAUUAUUCCCAGUCGGAUGAACUAUGGAUAUGUCCGAUUAUAAAACAUCAGCACAUGAGAAUGGGUAAAUUACCGAAAACAACAG